GUGUUUUGGGAGCACACACAGUAAAAUGGGAAAGACACAGAGAAGAUCGGCAUGGCCCCACACAGGGACGACACGCAAGUUCAUGAAGCAUUACGUAUUUAA
rnacentral:snRNA from 1 species